rnacentral:sRNA from 1 species
GCCAGGUGUGAUGGCACACGCCUGUAAUCCCAAAGGCUCUGGAGGCUGAUGCAGGAGGAUCAUGAGUUCAAAGCCAGUUGCUGAGGCGACUUAGCAAGGCCCUAAGCAACUCAGUGAGACCCUGUCUCUA